GACGUAGGGGGCAAGCGUUGUUCGGAAUUAUUGGGCGUAAAGCGCUCGUAGGCGGGACAGGAAGUUCGUGUUGAAAGACCUCGGCUCAACUGAGGGACCGGCUCGAAUACUCUUGUUCUUGAGGCAAUCAGAGGGUGAUGGAAUUCCCGGUGUAGCGGUGAAAUGCGUAGAGACCCGGAGGAACACCAGUGGCGAAGGCGGCGUCCUGGCCUGCGACUGACGCUGUGGCGCGAAAGCUAGGGGAGCGAACGGG
rnacentral:rRNA from 1 species